AGGCUGCAGUGAAUUCUACAAAGAGGCUAUGGGAAAGAAACCUGGAAAGUACCCUUGGCUGUGUACAUUUGAGUAAAGAGAGCACUAUAAAAUCAAAAACCAAUGAAAUGGUUUCCAGAACACAGAACUAUUAAGCUUAAGAAAAGGACAGAAGGAACUGAAGAGAGAGGAACUGUUUUGGAGCAUCACACUUCCACCUCAGAAGAAAUAAGGAAGGAAGGAGGAGGGUGUUCCCACGGCUCUUCAACCAGGCCGGCUCUUCAGCCUACAUCCCCAUCUCAUCAAGUAAAAGGGAUUUUUCAACUGGACCAACCAGAUGGUUUAACAGUGCACUCCCACACCAUUCAACUACGCAAGGGAGAUACACUUAACAUAUGCAGUCGUAUAACACCUACUAACAUUUUCAAACAUUAAACCUUUAAAAAAGAGUUCUAAAGAAAUAGAAGCUUGAAGUAUCAUCUCUCAAGUAUAUAGACACUACUUCAUGGUGUGGUAAUAUAUGCAUAUAGAAGCUAGUAAACACCUCCAGGAGAUGCAAAAGGAAUUAGAACUGCCACAAGGUGCAAGCAAAACCUUGAGGUAAUCAAUCUGCAUCCCAUUUUGGAUGAGAAUAUUUGCAACUUUGAAGGUUAUUUUAAGGACAGCAGCAGAAGAAUUAUGGCAGCUCUUCACGGAAAAAAAAAUGGCAACAAUAAAAUCAGCAACUCCUGCCAAAUAAAUGGGCAUAAAAAAGAAAUCAUAGACUGCUGGCAAUGGUGGGGAAAAAGUUAUAAAAAUUGUCUCUGCACCAUCUUCCUUUUGUCCUCUAAAAUAUUCACAUUAGCAAAAGUAUAUAACAGCUGAUGAAGAAAUACUGAUAAUUUGUCUUUUUCUGUUUUUCCUCUUCUAAUCCUUCACCCAUCUGAGCUAAAGUCUAGACCUAAGGAGGCUACUAAUUCAGGGAUCGAGUAAUCUGCCAAGCAAGAGUUUAUUCAAGCACAGUUUGAAAUAAAGGAUAUGGGAGGACACCUGAGACGGCAGGCCAGAAGUCACUCAGUAGGAGAAACAUCCGUUAGAAGUAAUAAUGUGGGAUUGCUGAAGUAAAGACUAUAGGAAGAAAAAAGUGUCUGUGUGUAGGAAACGGAAAGGGAGAGAAAAAUACACUGAGAUGGUAAAGUAAGGAAGUGGAAGAUCAGCAGAAUGUGCAGAUGCCAAGCCAUCCAAGAAAAUCAUCUCUUGUGAUUGUUGCGAAGUCAACUAGCUAAUGUGACUCACUGCUAGGCUGUUGGAUCUGAGACUUAUGUGGGAUAAUUUAGAAACUUGCUAGUGUCUUAAGAUCAAUUACUCACCAAUGAGAGUGGCAUUGAACUGUGAAUGUUCCUCCUAGAUUUUCCAUGAAGACUAAUGGUUUUGUCUUGUCUUGAAUUUGUUUUAAUUACAAUUUGUAUACAUCCUGUUCCACCCUGAAAUUUUUAUUUUCCAAAUGGUUUUUCAUUUAAAGAGACUAAAUAAAGGUUCUGACUGAGUUGUA
rnacentral:lncRNA from 1 species